rnacentral:rRNA from 1 species
GACGAACGCUGGCGGCGUGCCUAAUACAUGCAAGUCGAACGCAGUGGGGACGGGUGAGUAACACGUGGGUAACCUCCCAUCAGAGGGGAUAACACUUGGAAACAGGUGCUAAACCGAUACUGAUGGAUGGACUCGCGGUGCAUUAGCUAGUUGGUGAGGUAACGGCUUACCAAGGCCACGAUGCAUAGCCGACCUGAGAGGGUGAUCGGCCACACUGGGACGGAGAGACGGCACAGACUCCUACGGGAGGCAGCAGUAGGGAAUCUUCGGCAAUGGACGAAAGUCUGACCGAGGCACGCCGCGUGAGUGAAGAAGGAUUUCGGUUUGUAAAACUCUGUUGUUAGAGAAGCGGUAUCUGACCAGAAAGCCACGGCUAACUACGUGCCAGCAGCCGCGGUAAUUC